CCUGGAAAAUGCAAUCACAUCUUUAUACUUGUGUCAAGAUAUAAACCACAGAUUAAAUGAAAGGCUAGCACAAAAUGUAAGCAACUUGAGCUAAAGUUUGUAUCCAUUAUGGUUAUGAAAUCUAUAGGAGCAUUUGGUUUUUAGUUUAUGGUCUCAGUUAACAAGAAUCGAAAUCCUUAUCCUAUGUAUUAGUAUUUGGAUUAGAAAUUUAGUUAUUUCGAAUCUUAUUCCUAUUACAUAAGUAAAUUAUUUCCCAAUCGCGUCUUGAACUUUCAUAUCAUUCUCAUUUCCGUAAACCCACUAAUAUUUAGGAUCAACCUAAUCAAGGAUGCCGUUCUAUUCAGUAAUGUGUUGAUGCACAACAAGGCUGAAAGAAGAGCAGGGACUUGAUAGUAAUUUCGAAAGUUGUUGAUUAUUAAAAUUAUUGGAGAACAGGAAGAAAGUAUGUGGGUAACUAGAAGUGGGUUCUAUGUCAUUUGUCUGGAUUCUUUGCUGGUGUUUAUUGCUGUCAUUGUUGUCAUAUUGUUGUUGUUCCAUGUGUAUAUAAUAUUCUUGCUAAGUAGGACCACAUUGACUGUUUGCUCUUCAUUCUGCUUCUUUUAGGUUCACAUAUUUUUUAUACUUCCGAGUUCUGAAUUGUACAUGAUUAUGAAUUAUGAUACUUCUCUGAGCCACCACAUCAGCUUUAUACUAAAAACUGUACCCCUCACCAACUCAUUUCUAUAAUUCUAUGCAUGUGUGUUGUGCAGGCAGCCAGGCAUGCCCUGUAGUGCUAAUAUGAUUAGGAAUUCAAGCAAUGAAAUUUGUAUUGCUGGAGUGGUUUUGAGAACUUACACUAGCUAGGAGGCACACCAGUGACUGCAUUUGGUUGCGUCCGACCGAGUCUCCGAUGAAUGCCAUGGUUUUCCCUGUGACAGCCUCUAAGAACUGAGAUGCAUUGAAACGAGGUAACUCACAUUCAUCAGGCUUCCAUCUCCACCUCAUAAACUCAGUGUCCGGUCUGCCAAACUUCAUACAAUUCUGUCGUUGAUCGAUUUCGCAAUUAGUUUCAUCGGUGUAGUAAGGCCCGUCGGAACCUAGAACCCAGUCUCCUCGAAACACAUUGCAGACAUGCUCAAUUUCCACGCUUCUUGAACCAUUCUUGAACAUUUCUAGAGCAUGCAGAGGAGACAGAGGACUGUUUCGUAAAUAAAGUGGUAUUAUGGUUAGAAAAAAGACUGAUAGGAUGGGUAAUAUCAACUUUCUGGAGCUUGGAAGCUCCAUAGCAUAGCCCUUCAUCCUCAAAAUUAGUUGAAAGUUUUAAUCAAGAGUUUUCGAGGUAUAUAAAUAUAUAUCAUGUCAAGUGGACGGUUCUUUA